UACAGAGGUCUCAAGCGUUGUUCGGAUUCAUUGGGCGUAAAGGGUGCGUAGGCGGCGCGGUAAGUCGGGGUGUGAAAUCUCGGAGCUUAACUCCGAAACUGCAUUCGAUACUGCCGUGCUUGAGGACUGGAGAGGAGAACGGAAUUCCCGGUGUAGUGGUGGAAUGCGUAGAUAUCGGGAGGAACACCUGCGGCGAAGGCGGGUUGCUGGGCCGACACUGACGCUGAUGCGCGAAAGCCAGGGGAGCGAACGGG
rnacentral:rRNA from 1 species